rnacentral:rRNA from 1 species
GACGAACGCUGGCGGCGUGCUUAACACAUGCAAGUCGAACGGAAAGGCCCUGCUUUUGUGGGGUGCUCGAGUGGCGAACGGAUGAGUAACACGUGAGUAACCUGCCCUUGACUUUGGGAUAACUUCAGGAAACUGGGGCUAAUACCGGAUAGGAGCUCCUGCUGCAUGGUGGGGGUUGGAAAGUUUCGGCGGUUGGGGAUGGACUCGCGGCUUAUCAGCUUGUUGGUGGGGUAGUGGCUUACCAAGGCUUUGACGGGUAGCCGGCCUGAGAGGGUGACCGGCCACAUUGGGACUGAGAUACGGCCCAGACUCCUACGGGAGGCAGCAGUGGGGAAUAUUGCACAAUGGGCGGAAGCCUGAUGCAGCAACGCCGCGUGCGGGAUGACGGCCUUCGGGUUGUAAACCGCUUUCGCCUGUGACGAAGCGUGAGUGACGGUAAUGGGUAAAGAAGCACCGGCUAACUACGUGCCAGCAGCCGCGGUGAUACGUAGGGUGCGAGCGUUGUCCGGAUUUAUUGGGCGUAAAGGGCUCGUAGGUGGUUGAUCGCGUCGGAAGUGUAAUCUUGGGGCUUAACCCUGAGCGUGCUUUCGAUACGGGUUGACUUGAGGAAGGUAGGGGAGAAAUGGAAUUCCUGGUGGAGCGGUGGAAUGCGCAGAUAUCAGGAGGAACCCCAGUGGCGAAGGGCGGUUCUCUGGGCCUUUCCUGACGCUGAGGAGCGAAAGCGUGGGGAGCGAACAGGCUUAGAUACCCUGGUAGUCCACGCUGUAAACGGUGGGUACUAGGUGUGGGGUCCAUUCCACGGGUUCCGCGCCGUAGCUAACGCUUUAAGUACCCCGCCUGGGGAGUACGGCCGCAAGGCUAAAACUCAAAGGAAUUGACGGGGCCCCGCACAAGCGGCGGAGCAUGCGGAUUAAUUCGAUGCAACGCGUAGAACCUUACCUGGGUUUGACAUGGAUCGGGAGUGCUCAGAGAUGGGUGUGCCUCUUUUGGGGUCGGUUCACAGGUGGUGCAUGGCUGUCGUCAGCUCGUGUCGUGAGAUGUUGGGUUAAGUCCCGCAACGAGCGCAACCCUUGUUCACUGUUGCCAGCACGUUAUGGUGGGGACUCAGUGGAGACCGCCGGGGUCAACUCGGAGGAAGGUGGGGAUGACGUCAAGUCAUCAUGCCCCUUAUGUCCAGGGCUUCACGCAUGCUACAAUGGCUGGUACAGAGAGUGGCGAGCCUGUGAGGGUGAGCGAAUCUCGGAAAGCCGGUCUCAGUUCGGAUUGGGGUCUGCAACUCGACCUCAUGAAGUCGGAGUCGCUAGUAAUCGCAGGUCAGCAACGCUGCGGUGAAUACGUUCCCGGG